AGCAGAUUGUCAAAAUUUUUAGUUGGGUACGUUUCAAAUAUUAUUUAUCGACACAAAAAUUAUUUUAUAUCAAUCAUAUUUUAUAUUUUACUAUAUAUAUUUUAAAUAUCAUAACUUAAUUCUGUUACUGUAAAAGGGGUCAGUUAUUAUAUUUAGGGAUGAAUCUAACACGAAGAGUCUUCCAAUUAGCUCAUGUACAAAGACUUGAUACAUUGGAAUUCAAGAAAUUACACAAUGAAAGCAGAAUACAAAAAAAAUCUUCUACGCCGAAGACCCGACUUCCACGCGUAGCGACGAAGUACUCUAAGCGUCACUGUUGUAUGGGAUGUAUGGCGAAACUUUUGGAUUCGUUUCUAAAUAAUUACUCAUGAAUAAAAUGAUAAUAAAACUGUAUAGCAUAAAUCAAA